CAGUUUGCAACUCGACUGCAUGAAGCCGGAAUCGCUAGUAAUCGCGGAUCAGAAUGCCGCGGUGAAUACGUUCCCGGGUCUUGUACACACCGCCCGUCACACCAUGGGAGUCGGAAAUGCCCGAAGCCGGUGGCCUAACCGAUAAGGGAGGAGCCGUCGAAGGCAGGUCUGAUGACUGGGGUGAAGUCGUAACAAGGUAUC
rnacentral:rRNA from 1 species